rnacentral:misc_RNA from 1 species
AACUUUCGGCAACGGAUCUCUUGGCUCUUGCAACGAUGAAGAACGCAGUAAAGUGCGAUAUGUAGUGCGAUUUGCAUGAAUCUGUGAGUCAUCAAGUAUUUGAACGCAACUUGCGCCGUGAUGAACGGCAUGUCUGUUUGAGUGUUUGUUUAAAAUGCAGUAAUGUAAUAUGGCCAUUGGUUGUCAUUGGCUCAAAGGUAGCAAGAAAAGGAGUGUAGUGGUUCCUUUGUGAGCUAGAGACCACGUGUCUUGUCACAAAGCUAUCCUAUCCCUAUCUGUACUCUCUCGUAAACCUCAAAUCAGUCAAGACUACCCGCUGAACUUAAGCAUAUCAAUAAGCGGAGGCU